rnacentral:rRNA from 1 species
GUCGAACGGUAACAGGAAACAGCUUGCUGUUUCGCUGACGAGUGGCGGACGGGUGAGUAAUGUCUGGGAAACUGCCUGAUGGAGGGGGAUAACUACUGGAAACGGUAGCUAAUACCGCAUAAUGUCGCAAGACCAAAGAGGGGGACCUUCGGGCCUCUUGCCAUCGGAUGUGCCCAGAUGGGAUUAGCUAGUAGGUGGGGUAACGGCUCACCUAGGCGACGAUCCCUAGCUGGUCUGAGAGGAUGACCAGCCACACUGGAACUGAGACACGGUCCAGACUCCUACGGGAGGCAGCAGUGGGGAAUAUUGCACAAUGGGCGCAAGCCUGAUGCAGCCAUGCCGCGUGUAUGAAGAAGGCCUUCGGGUUGUAAAGUACUUUCAGCGGGGAGGAAGGGAGUAAAGUUAAUACCUUUGCUCAUUGACGUUACCCGCAGAAGAAGCACCGGCUAACUCCGUGCCAGCAGCCGCGGUAAUACGGAGGGUGCAAGCGUUAAUCGGAAUUACUGGGCGUAAAGCGCACGCAGGCGGUUUGUUAAGUCAGAUGUGAAAUCCCCGGGCUCAACCUGGGAACUGCAUCUGAUACUGGCAAGCUUGAGUCUCGUAGAGGGGGGUAGAAUUCCAGGUGUAGCGGU